UUAUUUACCUGGUGUCGAGCUCCUGAUGGUCAUUCAGGUCGGUGCUCCGUACCGAGGCUAGCCAUUGCAUUACAGUUGUGUGAAGCACGCGACUACCCCAAACCUGGGUCAGAUGGGACAUGUAAUUCUUGGUAGUGGGGCUCGGCGUGCGCGCCAGCCCAU
rnacentral:snRNA from 1 species